GACGAACGCUGGCGGCGUGCUUAACACAUGCAAGUCGAACGAUGAAGCGGUGCUUGCACCGUGGAUUAGUGGCGAACGGGUGAGUAAUACGUGAGUGACCUACCUUUGACUCUGGGAUAAGCCUGGGAAACUGGGUCUAAUACCGGAUACGACCAAUCUCUGCAUGGGGUGUUGGUGGAAAGCGUUAUGGAGUGGUUUUAGAUGGGCUCACGGCCUAUCAGCUUGUUGGUGAGGUAAUGGCUUACCAAGGCGACGACGGGUAGCCGGCCUGAGAGGGUGACCGGCCACACUGGGACUGAGACACGGCCCAGACUCCUACGGGAGGCAGCAGUGGGGAAUAUUGCACAAUGGGCGCAAGCCUGAUGCAGCGACGCCGCGUGAGGGAUGACGGCCUUCGGGUUGUAAACCUCUGUUAGCAUCGAAGAAGCGAAAGUGACGGUAGGUGCAGAGAAAGCGCCGGCUAACUACGUGCCAGCAGCCGCGGUAAUACGUAGGGCGCGAGCGUUGUCCGGAAUUAUUGGGCGUAAAGAGCUUGUAGGCGGUUGGUCGCGUCUGCUGUGAAGGCCGGGGCUUAACUCCGGUUUUGCAGUGGGUACGGGCUAACUAGAGUGCAGUAGGGGAGACUGGAAUUCCUGGUGUAGCGGUGGAAUGCACAGAUAUCAGGAGGAACACCGAUGGCGAAGGCAGGUCUCUGGGCUGUAACUGACGCUGAGAAGCGAAAGCAUGGGGAGCGAACAGGAUUAGAUACCCUGGUAGUCCAUGCCGUAAACGUUGGGCACUAGGUGUGGGGGACAUUCCACGUUUUCCGCGCCGUAGCUAACGCAUUAAGUGCCCCGCCUGGGGAGUACGGCCGCAAGGCUAAAACUCAAAGGAAUUGACGGGGGCCCGCACAAGCGGCGGAGCAUGCGGAUUAAUUCGAUGCAACGCGAAGAACCUUACCAAGGCUUGACAUGCAUUAGAUCGCGUCAGAGAUGGCGUUUCCCUUCGGGGCUGGUGUACAGGUGGUGCAUGGUUGUCGUCAGCUCGUGUCGUGAGAUGUUGGGUUAAGUCCCGCAACGAGCGCAACCCUCGUUCUAUGUUGCCAGCGGUUCGGCCGGGGACUCAUAGGAGACUGCCGGGGUCAACUCGGAGGAAGGUGGGGAUGACGUCAAAUCAUCAUGCCCCUUAUGUCUUGGGCUUCACGCAUGCUACAAUGGCCGGUACAGAGGGUUGCGAUACUGUGAGGUGGAGCUAAUCCCUUAAAGCCGGUCUCAGCUCGGAUUGGGGUCUGCAACUCGACCCCAUGAAGUCGGAGUCGCUAGUAAUCGCAGAUCAGCAACGCUGCGGUGAAUACGUUCCCGGGCCU
rnacentral:rRNA from 1 species